rnacentral:rRNA from 1 species
AUUCCGGUUGAUCCUGCCGGAGGCCAUUGCUAUUGGAGUCCGAUUUAGCCAUGCUAGUCGAGCGGGUUUAGACCCGCGGCGAAAAGCUCAGUGACACGUGGCCAAACUACCCUGUGGAGACGGAUAACCUCGGGAAACUGAGGCUAACCCGUCACACCGCUCCCACGCUGGAAUGCCGGGAGCCCGAAACGCUUCGGCGCCACAGGAUGUGGCUGCGGCCGAUUAGGUUGAUGGUGGGGUAACGGCCCACCAUGCCGAUAAUCGGUACGAGUUGUGAGAGCAAGAGCUCGGAGACGGAAUCUGAGACAAGAUUCCGGGCCCUACGGGGCGCAGCAGGCGCGAAACCUUUACACUGCACGAUAGUGCGAUAAGGGGACUCCAAGUGCGAGGGCAUACAGUCCUCGCUUUUCUGGACCGUAAGGUGGUCCAGGAAUAAGUGCUGGGCAAGACCGGUGCCAGCCGCCGCGGUAAUACCGGCAGCACAAGUGAUGGCCAAUCUUAUUGGGCCUAAAGCGUCCGUAGCUGGCCGAGCAGGUCCGUCGGGAAAUCCACGUGCUCAACGCGUGGGCGUCCGGCGGAAACCACUCGGCUUGGGGCCGGAGGACUCGAGGGGUACGUCUGGGGUAGGAGUGAAAUCCCGUAAUCCUGGACGGACCGCCGAUGGCGAAAGCACCUCGAGAGGACGGACCCGACAGUGAGGGACGAAAGCCAGGGUCUCGAACCGGAUUAGAUACCCGGGUAGUCCUGGCCGUAAACGAUGUUCGCUAGGUGUGGCGUCGACUACGAGUCGGCGCUGUGCCGCAGGGAAGCCGCUAAGCGAACCGCCUGGGAAGUACGUCCGCAAGGAUGAAACUUAAAGGAAU